GCAGGUAUAAUUUAAUGGUAAAAUACAGCCUUGCCAAGGCCGAGAUACGAGUUCGAUUCUCGUUACCUGCUCCA
rnacentral:tRNA from 1 species